CCAGGGCCACGUGCUGGAAAACACCCUAACUGUGCACCCUCUCUGCCAGACUGGAUUGACUUCCUCUCAGGCAGGAUUUAGAUAGGUGGAGUAGACUGAACAGAAUGCUGGGAGGAAGAAGACAGUGAGGCAGCCGCCAUGGAGCCAGCCGCCAGGUCAGACAUGCUGAAUCUUUCCCGAACAAAAUGAUGAGAAAAUUUUCUCCAAGAAAAGGGGGGAGAUGUGAGUUCUUCCCAAGAAAGUUGUAGUAAGGAGAACCUUCAUAAUGAACAUCAUGAGGACAAUCUUCUAUCUCCACAAUCCAGGACGGUGAUGGAAGCAUUCAGCUAAAUGAUGACUAUGGUGACCCUCAAAUACUGUAGUAAGUAAUGUAGAAUGGUAUAAAACCGGACUCGCUGAACAUAGCGGACAAUGAGGACUACUGAGAACUCAAGAACAAUGGCAAUGGGUUUUUGAUCCUACUGCACGUACUGGCUUUGUGGGAGCCUAGGCAGUUUGGAUGCUCACCUUCCUAGGCCUGGAUGGAGAAGAUGAGAACCUGUGGAUUGCUUCUACACCAAUAUGGUUUCAUAGACCUAGGCCUCCUGAAAGGUCACCAUGAACACCCUCAAAAAAUUGCUUUGUCCAACUGCUGACUGAGAUGAACCUAGCACACAGGAUACAUCAUAAAAGACCUGAUUAGCAGUGCUCCAGUCAGCAGGAAGCAGUAUGGACAGUAUUACACCCAUAUUCCGAAAUAUGGUUCAUAAUUGUUUGUUUACAUUUAGAGGGGGAUAUGAUAUA